AUGAAGCUGAACUUCGAAGAGGCCUGGUGGGUGGUAACAAACUAUGUGGGACAUCACAACCAUGAAAUGAUAAAGAAAUUUUAUCUGGUUAGGUUUCUGAGUGCUCAUCGUGGGUUCACGCCGGAGGAGCAGCAGUUUGUGAAAUUGCUCCAUGAUUGCAACCUCCAACCUGGGAGAAUGGUCCACAUCCUAUCAAUGAUACACAGCAAAACAGGGAAGCUAAGCAGCAUGCCAUAUCUUCCUUCAGAUGUGGUUAACCUAGUGGCAAACUACCAAAGGGAAAGUCAACUGACAGACAUGGAGGACACAAUUGCAUACUUCAUGGAAAAAGAAAAGGAAGACCUUGAUUUCUUCUACAGAAUCAAGUUGGACGGGGAGGACCACGUGAUGAACAUGUAUUGGAUAGAUGGUGCAGCACGCAGGGCAUAG
rnacentral:rRNA from 1 species